rnacentral:rRNA from 1 species
UGGGGAAGUAUUGGGCAAUGGGCGCGAAGCCUGACCCACGCAACGCCGCGUGAAGGAAGAAGGCUUUCGGGUUGUAAACUUCUUUUGUGAGGGACGAAACAAAUGACGGUACCUCACGAAUAAGCCACGGCUAACUACGUGCCAGCAGCCGCGGUAAUACGUAGGUGGCGAGCGUUAUCCGGAUUUACUGGGUGUAAAGGGCGUGUAGGCGGGACUGCAAGUCAGAUGUGAAAACCAUGGGCUCAACCCAUGGCCUGCAUUUGAAACUGUAGUUCUUGAGUGAUGGAGAGGCAGGCGGAAUUCCGUGUGUAGCGGUGAAAUGCGUAGAUAUACGGAGGAACACCAGUGGCGAAGGCGGCCUGCUGGACAUUAACUGACGCUGAGGCGCGAAAGCGUGGGGAGCAAACAGGAUUAGAUACC